rnacentral:rRNA from 1 species
GUAGGUGGCAAGCGUUGUCCGGAAUUAUUGGGCGUAAAGCGCGCGCAGGCGGUUCUUUAAGUCUGAUGUGAAAGCCCACGGCUCAACCGUGGAGGGUCAUUGGAAACUGGAGAACUUGAGUACAGAAGAGGAAAGCGGAAUUCCACGUGUAGCGGUGAAAUGCGUAGAGAUGUGGAGGAACACCAGUGGCGAAGGCGGCUUUCUGGUCUGUAACUGACGCUGAGGCGCGAAAGCGUGGGGAGCAAACAGGAUUAGAUACCCUGGUAGUCCACGCCGUAAACGAUGAGUGCUAAGUGUUAGGGGGGGUUUUCCGCCCCCCUUAGUGCUGCAGCUAACGCGUUAAGCACUCCGCCUGGGGAUACGGCCGCAAGGCUG